CAAUCGGGUUGAGGUCAGGACUCUGACUGGGCCACUCCAGAAGGUCAGGACUCUGACUGGGCCACUCCAGAAGGUCAGGACUCUGACUGGGCCACUCCAGAAGGUCAGGACUCUGACUGGGCCACUCCAGAAGGUCAGGACUCUGACUGGGCCACUCCAAAAGGUCAGGACUCUGACUGGGCCACUCCAGAAGGUCAGGACUCUGACUGGGCCACUCCAGAAGGUCAGGACUCUGACUGGGCCACUCCAGAAGGUCAGGACUCUGACUGGGCCACUCCAGAAGGUCAGGACUCUGACUGGGCCACUCCAGAAGGUCAGGACUCUGACUGGGCCACUCCAGAA